rnacentral:rRNA from 1 species
UACAGUGGGGGCAAGCGUUGUUCGGAAUUACUGGGCGUAAAGGGCGCGUAGGCGGCCCGCUAAGUCGAACGUGAAAUCCCCGAGCUCAACUCGGGAACUGCGUCCGAUACUGGCGGGCUUGAAUCCGGGAGAGGGAUGCGGAAUUCCAGGUGUAGCGGUGAAAUGCGUAGAUAUCUGGAGGAACACCGGUGGCGAAGGCGGCAUCCUGGACCGGCAUUGACGCUGAGGCGCGAAAGCUAGGGGAGCAAACGGG